rnacentral:rRNA from 1 species
UACGUAGGUGGCAAGCGUUGUCCGGAUUUACUGGGCGUAAAGAGCGCGCAGGCGGUCGUUCAAGUCGCGUGUGAAAGCCCCCGGCUCAACUGGGGAGGGUCACGCGAUACUGAUCGACUCGAAGGCAGGAGAGGGUAGUGGAAUUCCCGGUGUAGUGGUGAAAUGCGUAGAUAUCGGGAGGAACACCAGUGGCGAAGGCGAGUCCCUGGACAACUUCUGACGCUGAGGCACGAAAGCUAGGGGAGCAAACAGG